rnacentral:rRNA from 1 species
GACGAACGCUGGCGGCGUGCUUAACACAUGCAAGUCGAACGGUGAAGGGGCCUGCUUUUGUGGGUCCUGGAUGAGUGGCGAACGGGUGAGUAACACGUGAGUAACCUGCCCCCUUCUUCUGGAUAACCGCAUGAAAGUGUGGCUAAUACGGGAUAUUCUGGGUCUGUCGCAUGGUGGGCCUGGGAAAGAUUGCGCCUUUUUUGGUGUUUUUGGUGGGGGAUGGGCUCGCGGCCUAUCAGCUUGUUGGUGGGGUGAUGGCCUACCAAGGCGGUGACGGGUAGCCGGCCUGAGAGGGUGGACGGUCACACUGGGACUGAGACACGGCCCAGACUCCUACGGGAGGCAGCAGUGGGGAAUAUUGCACAA